rnacentral:rRNA from 1 species
AUUGACCUGCCGGACCUGACUGCUAUCGGAUUGGUACUAAGCCAUGCGAGUCGUUGUAGCAAUACAAGGCGGACUGCUCAGUAACACGUAGUUAACUUAACCUAUGGAUGGGAAUAACCUCGGGAAACUGAGAAUAAUACCCAAUGGGCCACAGUGCCUGGAAUGGCCUGUGGUUGAAAUGAUUUAUCGCCGUAGGAUAGGACUGCGGCCUAUCAGCUUGUUGGUGAGGUAAUGGCCCACCAAGGCUAUAACAGGUACGGGCUCUGAGAGGAGGGGCCCGGAGAUGGGUACUGAGACACGGACCCAGGCCCUAUGGGGCGCAGCAGGCGAGAAACCUUUGCAAUGUGCGAAAGCACGACAAGGUUAAUCCGAGUGUCUCCUGCUAAAGGAGUCUUUUGUCAGUUGUAGAAUCACUGGUGAAUAAGGGGUGGGCAAGUUCUGGUGUCAGCCGCCGCGGUAAAACCAGCACCUCGAGUGGUCAGGAGGUUUAUUGGGCCUAAAGCAUCCGUAGCCGGUUGCAUAAGUUUUCGGUUAAAUCUAUGCGCUUAACGUAUAGGCCGCCGAAAAUUCUGUGCAGCUAGGGAGUGGGAGAGGUC